rnacentral:rRNA from 1 species
GAUGAACGCUAGCGGCAGGCCUAACACAUGCAAGUCGAGGGAGAGGUUACCUUCGGGUAACCAAAACCGGCGCACGGGUGCGUAACGCGUAUACAAUCUGCCUUUCACAUAGGGAUAGCCCGAAGAAAUUUGGAUUAAUACCUAAUGGUAUAUAAGAGCGGCAUCGUUUUUAUAUUAAAGCUACGGUGGUGAAAGAUGAGUAUGCGUUCUAUUAGCUAGUUGGAGAGGUAACGGCUCCCCAAGGCGACGAUAGAUAGGGGUUCUGAGAGGGAUGUCCCCCACACUGGUACUGAGAUACGGACCAGACUCCUACGGGAGGCAGCAGUGAGGAAUAUUGACAAUGGUCGGAAGACUGAUCCAGCCAUGCCGCGUGCAGGAUGAAGGUCCUAUGGAUUGUAAACUGCUUUUGUAAGGGAAGAAUAAGGAGUACGUGUACUUUGAUGACGGUACCUUACGAAUAAGCAUCGGCUAACUCCGUG